rnacentral:rRNA from 1 species
GACGAACCGUGCAAACGUUAUUCGGAAUCACUGGGCUUAAAGCGUGCGUAGGCGGCUCAGAAAGUUGGGUGUGAAAUCCCUCGGCUCAACCGAGGAAUUGCGCUCAAAACUACUGAGCUCGAGGGAGUUAGAGGUGAGCGGAACUGAAUGGUGGAGCGGUGAAAUGCGUUGAUAUCAUUAGGAACACCGGUGGCGAAAGCGACUCACUGGGACUCUUCUGACGCUGAGGCACGAAAGCUAGGGUAGCGAACGGGAUUAGAUACCGAG